CGAAGGGGCUAGCGUUGCUCGGAAUUACUGGGCGUAAAGGGCGCGUAGGCGGCUCUGUUAGUCAGGCGUGAAAUUCCUGGGCUCAACCUGGGGACUGCGCUUGAUACGGCGGGGCUUGAGGAUGGAAGAGGGUCGCGGAAUUCCCAGUGUAGAGGUGAAAUUCGUAGAUAUUGGGGAAGAACGCCGGUGGCGAAGGCGGCGACCUGGUCCAUUACUGACGCUGAGGCGCGACAGCGUGGGGAGCAAACAGGAUU
rnacentral:rRNA from 1 species